CACGGGUGAGUAACGCGUGGAAUGUACCCUUUAGUACGGAAUAGCUCCGGGAAACUGGAAUUAAUACCGUAUACCGCCCUUCGGGGGAAAGAUUUAUCGCUAAAGGAUCAGCCCGCGUGAGAUUAGGUAGUUGGUGGGGUAAUGGCCUACCAAGCCUACGAUCUCUAGCUGGUCUGAGAGGAUGAUCAGCCACACUGGAACUGAGACACGGUCCAGACUCCUACGGGAGGCAGCAGGUGGGGAAUAUUGGACAAGUGGGGGAAACCCUGAUCCAGCCAUGCCGCGUGAAUGAUGAAGGCCUUAGGGUUGUAAAGUUCUUUUACCGAUGAAGAUAAUGACGGUAGUCGGAGAAAAAGCCCCGGCUAACUUCGUG
rnacentral:rRNA from 1 species